rfam:Triticum aestivum genome assembly, contig: Triticum_aestivum_CS42_TGACv1_scaffold_578155_7BL
CAUGUACUCCCUCCGUCCGGAAAUACUUGUCAUCAAAAUGGAUAAAAGGGAUGUAUCUAGAUGGGAUGUAUCUAGAUGUAUUUUAGUUCUAGAUACAUCCCUUUUUGUCCAUUUUGAUGACAAGUAUUUUCGGACGGAGGGAGUAAGUA